rnacentral:rRNA from 1 species
GACGAACGCUGGCGGCGUGCUUAACACAUGCAAGUCGAACGGUAAGGCCCUUCGGGGUACACGAGUGGCGAACGGGUGAGUAACACGUGGGUGAUCUACCCUGCACUUCGGGAUAAGCCUGGGAAACUGGGUCUAAUACCGGAUAGGACCCUGGGAUGCAUGUCCUGGGGUGGAAAGCUUUUGCGGUGUGGGAUGGGCCCGGGGCCUAUCAGCUUGUUGGUGGGGUGAUGGCCUACCAAGGCGACGACGGGUAGCCGGCCUGAGAGGGUGACCGGCCACACUGGGACUGAGAUACGGCCCAGACUCCUACGGGAGGCAGCAGUGGGGAAUAUUGCACAAUGGGCGCAAGCCUGAUGCAGCGACGCCGCGUGAGGGAUGACGGCCUUCGGGUUGUAAACCUCUUUCAGCACCGACGAAGCGCAAGUGACGGUAGGUGCAGAAGAAGGACCGGCCAACUACGUGCCAGCCGCCGCAGUAA